rnacentral:rRNA from 1 species
UACGUAGGGUGCGAGCGUUAAUCGGAAUUACUGGGCGUAAAGCGUGCGCAGGCGGUGAUGUAAGACAGAUGUGAAAUCCCCGGGCUCAACCUGGGAACUGCAUUUGUGACUGCAUCGCUGGAGUGCGGCAGAGGGGGAUGGAAUUCCGCGUGUAGCAGUGAAAUGCGUAGAGAUGUGGAGGAACACCGAUGGCGAAGGCAGCCCCCUGGGCUAACACUGACGCUCAUGCACGAAAGCGUGGGGAGCAAACAGG